rnacentral:siRNA from 1 species
AUGCAUUUCAUUAUUCUC